rnacentral:rRNA from 1 species
CGCAUCUGUGCAUGCAGCAUAUCAAUAAGCGGAGGAAAAGAAACUAACAAGGAUUCCCCUAGUAACGGCGAGUGAAGCGGGAAGAGCUCAAAUUUGAAAUCUUAAAGGGUUUCCCUUUACGAAUUGUAGUUUAAAGAAGUGUUUUCUGUUGAGGUUUUGGUAAAAGUUCUUUGGAAUAGGACAUCAUAGAGGGUGAGAAUCCCGUAUUUGACCUUUACUUUCAACUUUGUGAUACACUUUCAAAGAGUCGGAUUGUUUGGGAAUGCAGUCCAAAAUGGGUGGUAAAUUUCAUCUAAAGCUAAAUAUUGGCGAGAGACCGAUAGCGAACAAGUACCGUGAGGGAAAGAUGAAAAGAACUUUGAAAAGAGAGUUAAACAGUACGUGAAAUUGUCAAAAGGGAAGCGUUUGACACCAGUGUUGUUUUUCUGAAAAUCAAUUAAAGAACUGUUUAUGCUAAGCUGUUUAGACUUUAUCAGCUAACUGUUUAGUUUUGAGCUUUUUCUUUAAUGCACUUUUCAGUUAACAAGUCAACAUCAAUUUCUUUUGCUGUAAAAAAGCUUGAGGAAGGUGGCUUGAGAUUCGUCUUAAGUGUUUAUAGCCUCUUGCCUAUGCAGUCGGAGAGAUUGAGGUCUGCAGCGUAGAUCCUUCGGGGCUAAAUGCAUUUGUGCUAAGUUAUAGCAUUUUAUAGACAACUUGUUGACUAUGAUUUGUCUUGUAGCUUACUCGCUUAUGUUAUUUUACCUACGCUUAGGAUGUUGAGCGCAUGUCUCUCUCU